rnacentral:rRNA from 1 species
GUGGGGAAUCUUCCACAAUGGACGAAAGUCUGAUGGAGCAACGCCGCGUGAGUGAAGAAGGGUUUCGGCUCGUAAAGCUCUGUUGUCGGGGACGAAUGUGCAGUAUUUGAAUAAAGUACUGUAAUGACGGUACCUGACGAGGAAGCCACGGCUAACUACGUGCCAGCAGCCGCGGUAAUACGUAGGUGGCAAGCGUUGUCCGGAAUUAUUGGGCGUAAAGGGAGCGCAGGCGGGAAGGUAAGUCGGUCUUAAAAGUGCGGGGCUCAACCCCGUGAUGGGAUCGAAACUAUCUUUCUUGAGUGCAGGAGAGGAAAGUGGAAUUCCUAGUGUAGCGGUGAAAUGCGUAGAUAUUAGGAGGAACACCAGUGGCGAAGGCGACUUUCUGGACUGUAACUGACGCUGUGGCUCGAAAGCCAGGGGAGCGAACGGGAUUAGAAACCCUUGUAGUCC